rnacentral:tRNA from 1 species
CGGCGGCCUGGAGCGGUUAUCCGCUGUGGGCGUCGUGGGCGCCCGACGCGGGCGCGCGGAUCGCCGCCGCCGUC